rnacentral:rRNA from 1 species
AAUCUGGCGUCCUCAGGGCGUCCGAGUUGUAAUCUAUAGAGGCGUUUUCCGUGCCGGACCGUGUCCAAGUUCCUUGGAACAGGAUAUCAAAGAGGGUGACAAUCCCGUACUUGACACGACGACCGGUGCUCUGUGAUACGUCUUCUACGAGUCGAGUUGUUUGGGAAUGCAGCUCAAAAUGGGUGGUGAGUUCCAUCUAAAGCUAAAUAUUGGCGAGAGACCGAUAGCGAACAAGUACCGUGAGGGAAAGAUGAAAAGCACUUUGGAAAGAGAGUUAAACAGUACGUGAAAUUGUUGAAAGGGAAACGAUUGAAGUCAGUCGUGACCGAGAGGCUCAGCCGGUGCUGCCGGUGUAUUCCCCUCGGUCGGGUCAACAUCAGUUUUGUCCGGUGGAUAAGGGCGGUAGGAAGGUGGCACCCUCGGGUGUGUUAUAGCCUGCCGUCGCAUACAUCGGGUGAGACUGAGGAACGCAGCUCGCCUUUAUGGCCGGGGUUCGCCCACGUCCGAGCUUAGGAUGUUGACAUAAUGGCUUUAAACGACCCGUCU